UACGAAGGGGGCUAGCGUUGCUCGGAAUCACUGGGCGUAAAGGGUGCGUAGGCGGGUCUUUAAGUCAGGGGUGAAAUCCUGGAGCUCAACUCCAGAACUGCCUUUGAUACUGAGGAUCUUGAGUUCGGGAGAGGUGAGUGGAACUGCGAGUGUAGAGGUGAAAUUCGUAGAUAUUGGGAAGAACACCGGUGGCGAAGGCGGCUCACUGGCCCGGUACUGACGCUGAGGCGCGAAGGCGUGGGGAGCAAACAGG
rnacentral:rRNA from 1 species